UGAGUGGGUCUGGGAAGAGGAAGAGCUUCUUAAUAACACAUUGAGUGCCAACAUUUUCUUCUGAACUUUUCAUUAGCUUUAAUGAAUACUGAAUAGACAGCAACUUUGGUCGAGAACACCUCACCAGAUCACAAGUGGAUACACAGCUUUACAGACUAAUUUAUUUUUCUAGCCUAACUAUUGGGCAAUUAUUAAUAAGUAACAAUACGCAUAGCCUUAUCAAAGCAUCAUAAUUCCCUGUCUUUAUUCUGAGGAUUUGUUGAGAGGGUUGGGCAUAAGGAGGGAAUUUUAAAGAGAGUACUAUUAUUUUGAGAUUAGUUCAAGGACUUUCUUAAAUAAUUCAGCUAAUGGGAUUCCCCUUGCUCAAUUUCUUAGCAGCAGUUUGUAAGCUGCUUUGGAGGUUUAAGCUGCUUUUAAAGCUAAUCCCACCCUCCCUUCCCCCCUCCCCCCCCCAUGGUCUUGGCUUAGGAACUGACAAUAAGCCAUUCUACAGUUGUGUCCUAAGUUGUCAAGCCUUUGAUUUGGAGUGAGGCUGAAGGUGACCUUGUUGUGAUGGAGACCAGUAUCUAGUUAGCAUGAUAACAAACUUAUUUGCAUUUGAAAGGCAACAAGGUUUUUUAUCAUAACAAGGUCAACCUUAGCCUCACUCCUGUUCAAAGGCUUGACAACCAAGCACACAACAGCAAAAUGAUCUAAUCAAGUAACCAUUCACUGGCCAGUACCAGUCAAUCCCACUGUUUAUACCACCACUGCCUGCUUUGAAGGAGGGGAGGGAAGGGAAAGGAAAGAGUCUCUUAUGGCAAACAUAAGAACAUUGGUAGCAUUUUCAUAGAUUUUACUCUAGACAGAAUCAAAUGAUUCUGUGUCAUAACACAUUUUAUUAAUCUAGUCAUGUACUUUAUAAAGAUGGUAACAACAUCUUUAUUUUCACUGAAAACUAGCAUGAAUAUCAUAUACAUUUAUGUGCUUUACUGCUGCUGUUGUAUGCAACUGGCCCCAUUUUAACAAUUUCCAAAAUAUUUCAGGGUGUUUCUGAGCCUUGGCUCUUCUUCAUAAAUGAGUUUUACAGAAAUAUACUUAUGUAGCAUGUAAUGCUUAAUAAUCUUUAGUUCAUAGAACUUUUUUGUAACCUGUCACAGUUCUGGUACUGAGAUAAUAGGCAAGCUAAAAAUUGUGGGCAAGGUCCAAAACAGUGAUGAAGGUUGAUAGUACUUAUUUGAACUCUUUUUGUUCACUUUCAGAAGGCUGUACAAUUUGUUCAUAACAACAGUCCAUCCAAGAAAAGUAAAAGAAGCAACAACAAACCCGUCA